AUGGGUGGGAAAUGAGCACAGGCAGUGAUUACCCCAAGGGCUGGUGAUGAGACCUUCUCUAGGUUUUGGGGGUUUACUGGUAGUCUAGUAGAUUUUUGGGCUGCUUCUACUCUGCUCUGGCCUUCCUGGAGGAGUUCUGCUCUGAUUUUUUUUCCGAGUUGACCUCUGCAAUCGCUGUUUUAAUUACAGAAGAUUUUAUAUGGAAUAAUGUCAACCUUGACUGAUCUCAUCUCUCCAUCAAAAUUGCAAACCAUGCGAAGAGGGACAGUUUCAAGAAGAGUGAAAAUCAGAGAUGAAGAAGAAGUGAUGUAGCUGUUUUCAUGUUGAAAUUGAAGAGCCAAUCACAGCUAGUGGGAGGGACAAAAGAGACAAUUAAGAAUGAAGCUGGGGAAAAGGUCAGUAGACCGCCAAGACCUAAAAGAUGCCAAUGUCUUUCCUCUAGGAUUAAUUGAGAUCGCAUAAUUGCUUUGCAACCACCUACAGUCAUGUUUUAAUUUCCAUUGUGUUGCCACCUCAGAAAGCUUUCCAUUAUAUUCCAGGUCACAAGACCAAAUUUAAAACAUUAGACAGCUCAGAGAUUAAAACCUGCCAGAUGACUUUAAUGAAAUAAAUUCAUGGUGGAAACUCAGAAUGCUUUCUAAAAGGAAUCCAAGUCCAUUCUAUGUCUCAGGCUUCAUUUUUUCAGGGCUUUCUACUAUUCUGCAUUUUUUUUUUUUUUUUUGUAAAGUCCAGAUAUAGAUUGGGGUCGAGGCCGGUAUGCACCAGUAGAAUCAUAUAACCAGGCAAUUGAGUGGUUCCUGGUUAUUAAUGAAACAUAAUAGCUUGUAUGUGUGUGGAGCAGCCUGUGGGAGACCAGCUGCGAAAGAAAGGUGAAGGAGAGACAGAGCCUGAACUGAAACUUGACUUAAAUAUCUGGUCCACAAAAUGGAGGCGAGUUACCAGAGAUGAAAGCCGAUAAAUCUGAAUGCUAAUAAGAGGAGAUGCUUUUAUUAUGAUGAUUAUCAUUGAACGACAAACUCAUGAAUAGGUUCAUGAAAUAUGAAGA